AUUGAUGUGACUUUUAGUUAUAAGUAUUUUUGUAUUAGAUUAUGUGAAACCCCAAUUUAAGUUUAGUAUAGGGCCCUCAAAAUCUCGGGGACGGCCCUAACACUAUCUAGGUGUUAUGGAAGUUCGAACUUAAGACUACUGGUCUGCAAAUCAAUACCUUUUUUAAUAAGGCUAGAGGUUGUUGACAUGAGCCAAAACUUGAUUUUGUUCAUGUACUUGCAUAAGCUGCUC
rnacentral:lncRNA from 1 species